GGGUCCCUUUUCUAGAAUUCUAUCCCUAACUUACUCAGAGAGAAAAAUAAGAAACCCUCAGAUAGCAGACUUACCUAAAAAUCUCCCUCAAUUAGCCAUCUCUUCUUCAUCUCGUGUUGAAUGAAAUCUAUUGCAAAAUCAGGUCCAAGAAACUUACCAAUCAAGGCAGCAUGACAUCUUUGAGCAGUUCUCUACAGUUCUUCCUCAGAGAAGAUGGCCAAAUCAUUGAAGUGCGUUUUUAGAGUAGAAAUGUCAUCUUUUGAAGGUGUAGGCAUCUCCCAGUGAAAUUGGCGGCGGCCUUGAACAACUUGGGCCCAAGACCAUUUUUGCUCCAUACC
rnacentral:lncRNA from 1 species